GACGAACGCUGGCGGCGUGCCUAACACAUGCGAGUCGAGCGAUGAAGUUCCCUUCGGGGGAUGGAUUAGCGGCGGACGGGUGAGUAACACGUGGGCAACCUGCCUCAUAGUGGGGGAUAGCCUCCCGAAAGGGAGAUUAAUACCGCAUAAGAAGUGGAAACCGCAUGGUUUCAGCUUUAAAGGAGUAAUCCGCUAUGAGAUGGGCCCGCGCCUGAUUAGCUAGUUGGUGAGGUAACGGCUCACCAAGGCAACGAUCAGUAUCCGGCCUGAGAGGGCGGACGGACACACUGGGACUGAGACACGGCCCAGACUCCUACGGGAGGCAGCAGUGGGGAAUUGUUCGCAAUGGGCGCAAGCCUGACGACGCAACGCCGCGUGGAGGAUGAAGAUCUUCGGGUCGUAAACUCCUGUCGAGCGGGACGAACGCCUUGUGGUCUAACACACCGCAGGGGUGACGGUACCGCUAAAGGAAGCCCCGGCUAACUCCGUGCCAGCAGCCGCGGUAAAAC
rnacentral:rRNA from 1 species